CGUUGAAACACUAGAUCCCGUACGAUCACAGAAUUUAAACAACUUUGAGCCUGGUCAGUAACUGGAUGGGUGAUUGCUUGGAAAUACCAGCUGCUGCAA